AUUGAACGCUGGCGGCAGGCCUAACACAUGCAAGUCGAACGAGUGGCGGACGGGUGAGUAAUGUCUGGGAAACUGCCCGAUGGAGGGGGAUAACUACUGGAAACGGUAGCUAAUACCGCAUACCAUCGGAUGUGCCCAGAUGGGAUUAGCUAGUAGGUGGGGGAAUGGCUCACCUAGGCGACGAUCCCUAGAUGGGCUGAGAGGAUGACCAGCCACACUGGAACUGGGACACGGUCCAGAUUCCUACGGGAGGCAGCAGUGGGGAAGAUUGCACAAGGGGCGCAAGCCUGAUGCAGCCAUGCCGCGUGUAUGAAGAAGGCCUUCGGGUUGUAAAGUACUUUCAGCGAGGAGGCGUUACUCGCAGAAGAAGCACCGGCUAACUCCGUGCCAGCAGCCGCGGUAAUAC
rnacentral:rRNA from 1 species